rnacentral:rRNA from 1 species
CCUACGGGAGGCAGCAGUGGGGAAUUUUGGACAAUGGGCGCAAGCCUGAUCCAGCAAUGCCGCGUGAGUGAAGAAGGCCUUCGGGUUGUAAAGCUCUUUUGUCAGGGAAGAAACGGUGGGGGCUAAUAUCCUUUGCUAAUGACGGUACCUGAAGAAUAAGCACCGGCUAACUACGUGCCAGCAGCCGCGGUAAUACGUAGGGUGCAAGCGUUAAUCGGAAUUACUGGGCGUAAAGCGUGCGCAGGCGGUUUUGUAAGUCUGUCGUGAAAUCCCCGGGCUCAACCUGGGAAUUGCGAUGGAGACUGCAAGGCUAGAAUCUGGCAGAGGGGGGUAGAAUUCCACGUGUAGCAGUGAAAUGCGUAGAGAUGUGGAGGAACACCGAUGGCGAAGGCAGCCCCCUGGGUCAAGAUUGACGCUCAUGCACGAAAGCGUGGGGAGCAAACAGGAUUAGAUACCCUGGUAGUCCACGCCCUAAACGAUGUCUACUAGUUGUCGGGUUUUAAUUAACUUGGUAACGCAGCUAACGCGUGAAGUAGACCGCCUGGGGAGUACGGUCGCAAGAUUAAAACUCAAAUGAAAUUGACCGGNUGAGAGNGCGAGACGACGACGAGGGAGGAGG